ACGACCUUACUUGAACAGGAUCUGUUCUAUAGGUUGUACGCCUGUUUCCUUGAGUGCAAAGGAGACAAGCAACUAAGUCUGGUGGAUGAAAGAUUGACAGACU
rnacentral:snoRNA from 1 species